AGCUCCCUGAAAAAAUAGGGGGUCUAGCCUGCCCAGUGGUCCAAGACUAAACGGCCGCGGUAUAUUGACCGUGCAAAGGUAGCAUAAUCACUUGUCUUUUAAAUGAAGACUUGUAUGAACGGAAUUACCUUUCUUAACUGUCUCCCCUGCUUUUCUCUGAAACUCGUAUUUAGGUGAAGAACCCUAAAUAACAUAGAAAGACGAGAAGACCCUGUCGAGCUUCAGCUAAAAAAGGAGUCUAAGUAAAACUCACACAUCCUACUACAGCUUUGGUUGGGGCAACCACGGAGAAUAAUAAUCCUCCGGAAAUUGUGGAAGAUAAAUCUCUUCCCCACACACAAAAAAAGAACCAGAAUCUGGAAAACGGAAAAAGCUACCGCAGGGAUAACAGCGUUAUCUCCUCCAAGAGUUCAUAUUGACGAGGAGGCUUGCGACCUCGAUGUUGGAUUGGGGCACCCACAGGGUGCAGAAGCUCUGAAAGGUCGGACUGUUCGUCCGUUAAAGCCCUACAUGAUCUGAGUUCAGACCGACGUGAGUCAGGUCAGCUUCUAUCUUCUGACUGAUGUCUCUCCAGUACGAAAGGACCGAGAUACCCCUUUAAAUAGUUAACUCCAAAAAGGACUAAAAAAUUAAAAAUUCACAAACAAAGAACACUCUGAGCUAAAAACGAAGCAAGCUCAAAAACAAGAAAUUUACUACCUGCUAUAGAUUUAACUUAAAAAAGAAUUUUUAAUUUUUAGAAAAGACCCCCCCCUUGUUAGUUUUUAAAAGUCAAAUAAAUUACAAAUC
rnacentral:rRNA from 1 species